rnacentral:rRNA from 1 species
CAGAGGGUGCGAGCGUUGUUCGGAAUUAUUGGGCGUAAAGGGAGUGUAGGCGGCUAGGAAAGUCUUCUGUGAAAUCUACGGGCUCAGCCUGUAACGUGCAGAGGAAACUAUCUGGCUAGAGUGUCGGAGAGGAUAGGGGAAUACCCGGUGUAGAGGUGAAAUUCGUAGAGAUCGGGUGGAACACCAGUGGCGAAGGCGCCUGUCUGGCUGACAACUGACGCUGAGACUCGAAAGCAUGGGGAGCAAACAGGAUUAGAUACCCUGGUAGUCCAUGCCGUAAACGAUGAUAACUAGAUGUGUGAGGUAUUGACCCCUUACGUGUCGAAGCCAACGCGAUAAGUUAUCCGCCUGGGGAGUACGGUCGCAAGAUUA